GACGAACGCUGGCGGCGUGCUUAACACAUGCAAGUCGAACGGAAAGGCCCUGCUUUUGUGGGGUGCUCGAGUGGCGAACGGGUGGGUAACACGUGAGUAACCUGCCCUUGACUUUGGGAUAACUUCAGGAAACUGGGGCUAAUACCGGAUAGGAGCUCCUGCUGCAUGGUGGGGGUUGGAAAGUUUCGGCGGUUGGGGAUGGACUCGCGGCUUAUCAGCUUGUUGGUGGGGUAGUGGCUUACCAAGGCUUUGACGGGUAGCCGGCCUGAGAGGGUGACCGGCCACAUUGGGACUGAGAUACGGCCCAGACUCCUACGGGAGGCAGCAGUGGGGAAUAUUGCACAAUGGGCGGAAGCCUGAUGCAGCAACGCCGCGUGCGGGAUGACGGCCUUCGGGUUGUGAACCGCUUUCGCCUGUGACGAAGCGUGAGUGACGGUAAUGGGUAAAGAAGCACCGGCUAACUACGUG
rnacentral:rRNA from 1 species